UUGUUUUUUUAAUAUUUUCAUUGGUUGAAGUUUUACAGUCUUAAAACGAUUUUAUAUAUCAUUUAAUUUUUGGCUGGGAGCUACCCAGAGUUGGUUGAAAGAUGGGCUGCUAUAUAAGUGUUUUAAAUAAAUAAAUGAAAAUCAUAAAAUCAUAUCUCCAAC